GUUUGUUGGCUGUGCUGUGAGGAGCUGCCCAUAAGAGCUCACUGAGAAGUUACAGGUCUGAGAAGCACAACAGAUGGAUGAAACAAGAAAUCACUUUUUCUCACUGAAUUUCCAAUGCACUCGAUAUACUGGAUUUAUUCCACAGUACAACAGAAAACUGCUCACAGCACCAAUGGCUCAUGUGGACACAGAAGCCUGCAGCUUACAUUCAAGCCUUUCUUUGUCUUCCCUAGCAACCAUUUGAACACCACAAAGAAGAUAUAUGAGCCUCCUGAAUAUGAGGGUUUCACACUCAUAUUGCUGUUGCUAGACCCAGCCAUCAGCAGCAGAAAGAACCACAACAGCUGAACCAGCACUGCCUGUGUCAAGGUCGGGCACUCUGUGUCAGAGUCACUCUGCCAUCACAUGUUACUGCAGCAAUGGCUUCUUCUGUUUAAAAGCAGUUGUCAACUGUCAAGUGGUAUUUAUUUCUUCACUCAGAAAGUAGUACUGUACUAAUAACAGCUUAGAGAUUUUUAGUACAACACAGGAAAAGAAAAAAAAAAAACCAACACCAAAACAAACUCAAAC